rnacentral:tRNA from 1 species
GAGGGUAUAGCUCAGUAGUAUAACACUUGCCUAGCAUGCAUGAGGCCCUGGGUUCGAUCCCCAGUGCUGUAA